rfam:Rattus norvegicus chromosome 15, whole genome shotgun sequence.
GGGGAUUUAGUUCAGUGGUAGAGCGCUUGCCUAGCAAGCACAAGACCCUGGGUUCGGUCCCCAGCUCCG